GAUGAACGCUGGCGGCGUGCCUAAUACAUGCAAGUCGAGCGAACAGACGAGGGCUUGCUCCUCUGACGUUAGCGGCGGACGGGUGAGUAACACGUGGAUAACCUACCUAUAAGACUGGGAUAACUUCGGGAAACCGGAGCUAAUACCGGAUAAUAUAUUGAACCGCAUGGUUCAAUAGUGAAAGACGGUUUUGCUGUCACUUAUAGAUGGAUCCGCGCCGCAUUAGCUAGUUGGUAAGGUAACGGCUUACCAAGGCAACGAUGCGUAGCCGACCUGAGAGGGUGAUCGGCCACACUGGAACUGAGACACGGUCCAGACUCCUACGGGAGGCAGCAGUAGGGAAUCUUCCGCAAUGGGCGAAAGCCUGACGGAGCAACGCCGCGUGAGUGAUGAAGGUCUUCGGAUCGUAAAACUCUGUUAUUAGGGAAGAACAAAUGUGUAAGUAACUAUGCACGUCUUGACGGUACCUAAUCAGAAAGCCACGGCUAACUACGUG
rnacentral:rRNA from 1 species